UACGAAGGGGGCUAGCGUUGCUCGGAAUGACUGGGCGUAAAGGGCGCGUAGGCGGUUCGUACAGUCAGACGUGAAAUUCCCGGGCUCAACCUGGGGGCUGCGUUUGAUACGUACGGGCUUGAGUUCGGAAGAGGGUCGUGGAAUUCCCAGUGUAGAGGUGAAAUUCGUAGAUAUUGGGAAGAACACCGGUGGCGAAGGCGGCGACCUGGUCCGAUACUGACGCUGAGGCGCGAAAGCAUGGGGAGCAAACAGG
rnacentral:rRNA from 1 species